AGAACGAACGCUGGCGGCAUGCCUAACACAUGCAAGUCGAACGAGACCUUCGGGUCUAGUGGCGCACGGGUGCGUAACGCGUGGGAAUCUGCCCCUUGGUUCGGAAUAACAGUUAGAAAUGACUGCUAAUACCGGAUGACGACGUAAGUCCAAAGAUUUAUCGCCGAGGGAUGAGCCCGCGUAGGAUUAGCUAGUUGGUGAGGUAAUGGCUCACCAAGGCGACGAUCCUUAGCUGGUCUGAGAGGAUGAUCAGCCACACUGGGACUGAGACACGGCCCAGACUCCUACGGGAGGCAGCAGUGGGGAAUAUUGGACAAUGGGCGAAAGCCUGAUCCAGCAAUGCCGCGUGAGUGAUGAAGGCCUUAGGGUUGUAAAGCUCUUUUACCAGGGAUGAUAAUGACAGUACCUGGAGAAUAAGCUCCGGCUAACUCCGCGCCAGCAGCCGC
rnacentral:rRNA from 1 species